UGCAGUCGAGCGGCAGCACGGGAAGCUUGCUUCCUGGUGGCGAGCGGCGGACGGGUGAGUAAUGCAUAGGAAUCUGCCCGAUAGUGGGGGAUAACCUGGGGAAACCCAGGCUAAUACCGCAUACGUCCUACGGGAGAAAGCAGGGGCUCUUCGGACCUUGCGCUAUCGGAUGAGCCUAUGUCGGAUUAGCUGGUUGGUGAGGUAAUGGCUCACCAAGGCGACGAUCCGUAGCUGGUCUGAGAGGAUGAUCAGCCACAUCGGGACUGAGACACGGCCCGAACUCCUACGGGAGGCAGCAGUGGGGAAUAUUGGACAAUGGGCGCAAGCCUGAUCCAGCCAUGCCGCGUGUGUGAAGAAGGCCCUCGGGUUGUAAAGCACUUUCAGUGGGGAAGAAAGCCUUGGGGCUAAUACCCUCGAGGAAGGACAUCACCCACAGAAGAAGCACCGGCUAACUCCGUGCCAGCAGCCGCGGUAAUACGGAGGGUGCGAGCGUUAAUCGGAAUUACUGGGCGUAAAGCGCGCGUAGGUGGCUUGAUAAGCCGGUUGUGAAAGCCCCGGGCUCAACCUGGGAACGGCAUCCGGAACUGUCAGGCUAGAGUGCAGGAGAGGAAGGUAGAAUUCCCGGUGUAGCGGUGAAAUGCGUAGAGAUCGGGAGGAAUACCAGUGGCGAAGGCGGCCUUCUGGACUGACACUGACACUGAGGUGCGAAAGCGUGGGUAGCAAACAGGAUUAGAUACCCUGGUAGUCCACGCCGUAAACGAUGUCGACUAGCCGUUGGGAGCCUCGAGUUCUUAGUGGCGCAGUUAACGCGAUAAGUCGACCGCCUGGGGAGUACGGCCGCAAGGUUAAAACUCAAAUGAAUUGACGGGGGCCCGCACAAGCGGUGGAGCAUGUGGUUUAAUUCGAUGCAACGCGAAGAACCUUACCUACCCUUGACAUCGUGCGAACUUGGUAGAGAUACCUUGGUGCCUUCGGGAACGCACAGACAGGUGCUGCAUGGCUGUCGUCAGCUCGUGUUGUGAAAUGUUGGGUUAAGUCCCGUAACGAGCGCAACCCUUGUCCCUAUUUGCCAGCGAUUCGGUCGGGAACUCUAGGGAGACUGCCGGUGACAAACCGGAGGAAGGUGGGGACGACGUCAAGUCAUCAUGGCCCUUACGGGUAGGGCUACACACGUGCUACAAUGGUCGGUACAAAGGGUUGCAAAGCGGCGACGUGGAGCUAAUCCCAGAAAGCUGAUCUCAGUCCGGAUCGGAGUCUGCAACUCGACUCCGUGAAGUCGGAAUCGCUAGUAAUCGUGAAUCAGAAUGUCACGGUGAAUACGUUCCCGGGCCUUGUACACACCGCCCGUCACACCAUGGGAGUGGACUGCACCAGAAGUGGUUAGCCUAACUUCGGAGGGCGAUC
rnacentral:rRNA from 1 species